rnacentral:tRNA from 1 species
UUCUUGGUGGCUCACAUGGUAAAGCGUCUGCCUACAAUGCAGGAGACCCAGGUUCGAUCCCUGGGUUGGGAA